rnacentral:rRNA from 1 species
GCAACGUGCCCUUCUCUGCGGAAUAGGCUCGGGAAACUGGGUUUAAUACCGCAUACGCCCUUCGGGGGAAAGAUUUAUCGGAGAAGGAUCGGCCCGCGUCUGAUUAGGUAGUUGGUGGGGUAAUGGCCUACCAAGCCUACGAUCAGUAGCUGGUUUGAGAGGAUGAUCAGCCACACUGGGACUGAGACACGGCCCAGACUACUACGGGAGGCAGCAGUGAGGAAUCUUGGACAAUGGGGGAAACCCUGAUCCAGCCAUGCCGCGUGAGCGAUGAAGGCCUUAGGGUUGUAAAGCUCUUUCAGUCGUGAAGAUAAUGACGGUAGCGACAGAAGAAGCCCCGGCUAACUCCGUGCCAGCAGCCGCGGUAAUACGGAGGGGGCUAGCGUUGUUCGGAAUUACUGGGCGUAAAGCGCGCGUAGGCGGACUAUUAAGUCGGGGGUGAAAUCCCGGGGCUCAACCCCGGAACUGCCUCCGAUACUGGUAGUCUAGAGUUCGAGAGAGGUGAGUGGAAUUCCGAGUGUCAGAGGUGAAAUUCGUAGAUAUUCGGAGGAACACCAGUGGCGAAGGCCGGCUCACUGGCUCGAUACUGACGCCUGAGGUGCCAAAGCGUGGGGAGCAAACAGGAUUAGAUACCCUGGUAGUCCACGCC